rnacentral:lncRNA from 1 species
UUAGACGUCAUCAGAGAAUUCAUUCUGGAGAGAAACCUUAUAAAUGUAGUGAAUGUGACAAAUGCUUUACCCGCAAAUUCAGUCUUAGAAGUCAUCAGAGAAUUCAUACAUGAGAGCAGCCUUACAAAUGUAGUGAAUGCGACAAAUGCUUUACCUUUAAAAAUUGAUCUUAGAAUUCAUCAGAGAAUUCAUAUGGGAGAGAAACCAUACAAAUGUAGUGAAUGUGAAAAAUCUUUUACCCAGAAAAGCAAUCUUAGAAUUCAUCAGAGAAUUCAUACAGGAGAGAAACCUUUUAAGUGUAGUGAAUGUGACAAAUGUGUUAAUCACAAAGGUGAUUAGCAAUCAUCAGAGAAUUCAUAUAGGAGAUAAGCCUUAUAAAUGCAGUGAAUGUGGCAAAUGUGUUGUUAACAAAUACAGUCUUAGUAUUCAUUAUGGAAUUCAUACAGAAGAGAAACCUUAUACACGUAAUGAAUGUGAUGAAUUCUUUAGACAUAAAUGUAGUCUUAGCACUCAUCUGAAAAUGUACACAUUAGAGAAUUUUUACAAAUGAAGCAAAUGAGACAAACCCUUCACCAAGAAAGAUCAUCUUAGAAGUCAUCAAAGAAUACAUACAGGAGAGUGACCUUUCAAUGUUCAUGUUCAAAUCCUUUAUUCUUAGCUUAUCUCACAGUACAUCAGAGAAUUUGUACAGGAGAGAAACCUCACAAAUGUAACACGAGGAAAGAACUUUACCUGAAAAAUAGUUUCUUCCGGAAAACAUGUGGCAUAUAUUUUACCCAAGCGGAAUUCUUUACAACACUUGACGCUCCACACUAGAGUUAAUUAUGAAUAUUAGGAACUUGUGAAAGCAUUUUAGUGUUUAAAUCUUAGAAACUAUGAAGCAUGUAUGCUGGAAAAUCUCUGAAAAUGUGACAAUGGAGAAAAAUUUUCAAAUUGUUCACUAGCAAAUAUUCCAUAAUAAAGACAAAGUAGAGAAGCCAGAAGAAUCUGUAACACUUCUAUGGAGACUGAAACAAUCCAUUUGAGAGGAAAUCUGAAUAUGGCGGAUAAUAUGACUCUCAAAAGAGUGAUACCAGUAAGCAUUCUGUAUGUUUAAUUUAAAUGAAGAAACUCAGACAAAUCAUAUUUGUUAAAAGAGGAUUUGAUAAACUGAGCCAUCAAAAUGCCAGUAUUCCUACAGAUAGAGAUUGCCCUCAGUGUCAAGUAUUCAUAAUCUGUAUCAUAUGCUGGUUUCAAGUUUCAGGAUAGAAACUGUCUUUGAGUCCCUUGGGCUCUGAUCACCAACUCCUUCCCCACAGUCGUGUAUAUAUAACUGCAAUAAAUUUCAUUG